GGCCGCCGCUGGUUGCAGCCUCCCCCUUCUUCCCGCGCUUCCAGAAGCAGCCUCGUGGGAGGCGCCGUCUUCCUCAGAAGCACCUUCUCUAAACCCCUGGUCCCAGCAGCAUCCGGGUAGCAGCGCUCCCGCCUCCACAGGUGGAUGGAAACGAGACCAAGAGAAAAAAAUAAGCAACUUAAUAACCUACUUUUACCCAGAGAAUGGAAAAUAAAAUGCAAGAUUCCAAACCCUGCCCUUUCAUUGCAUCUUCAUCUUUGGAAAAUACAGGAAGAAGUGGGCUGUUUUGGCUUCCUACCAUGGAUGAGGAUCUCGAAGGAGAAAGUUGGCAGACGUUCUCCAUUCCCUGGGGCUUCGGCAAGUCAGCAGAGGAUGAAGGAGCGCACAUCUGCCA
rnacentral:lncRNA from 1 species